CCUACGGGAGGCAGCAGUGAGGAAUAUUGGUCAAUGGACGAAAGUCUGAACCAGCCAAGUAGCGUGAAGGAUGAAUGCCCUAUGGAUUGUAAACUUCUUUUAUCUGGGAAUAAAAUGUUCCUCGUGUGGCUUUUUGUGUGUACCUUAUGAAUAAGCAUCGGCUAACUCCGUGCCAGCAGCCGCGGUAAUACGGAGGGGGCGAGCGUUAUCCGGAUUUAUUGGGUUUAAAGGGUGCGUAGACGGGGCUGCAAGUCUGCGGUGAAAGCCCGGGGCUUAACCCCGGCAGGGCGUUGGAAACUGGGGGACUGGAGAGGUGGAGAGGCAAGCGGAAUGCCCAGUGUAGCGGUGAAAUGCGUAGAUAUUAGGAGGAACACCAGUGGCGAAGGCGGCGUGCCGGAGAGGAACUGACGUUGAGGCACGAAAGCGUGGGGAGCAAACAGGAUUAGAUACCCGUGUAGUC
rnacentral:rRNA from 1 species